rnacentral:rRNA from 1 species
CGGAUCGGAGUCUGNAACCCGACUCCGUGAAGCUGGAUUCGCUAGUAAUCGCGCAUCAGCCAUGGCGCGGUGAAUACGUUCCCGGGCCUUGUACACACCGCCCGUCAAGCCAUGGAAGCCGGGGGUGCCUGAAGUGUGCAGCCGCAAGGAGCGCCCUAAGGUAAAACCGGUGACUGGGGCUAAGUCGUAACAAGGUAUC